GCAGGCAGCACCGGGAAGGGAAGAAGAAGAAAGGCGGGGGUUAGAGGAAGAACUGGGACAAAGUUCAUCCAGCUCUGUAAUGUAACACCUGAUUAAAAACGGCCCUUAGUGCAGUGUUGGACUAUUCAUAGCAAUCGGAUUAAAAGCCGUGCAACUGUUAACAAUGGGCGUACUCUGCAAAACAAGGGAAGGCUUUAAAAGGAUUUUGAAGGAGAUUCAGCGGGACUGUGCAUACCUGAAGGGAAAUAUCUCAAAAGAUGUUGUUCUAAGCCCCUUUUAGUUUGAUUUCCUGUGCAGGACCACAGACAUGUCAGCUCUGGAGCAGCUGGACGGAGGGUGUGGCCAGCAGCCGCUCCGGCAGCAGGUUGAUCUCCUUCAUGAUGUUCGACAGACGGACAGGAAGCUCCUGGCGAAGGAAGACAAAUGAAGUGCGUUCACAGGCAUUGGUGGACCCUGGGGGACAGGACAAAAGAGGGUUACUAUUCAAUGCAAACAAACAUGAAACAAGUUGCUACUGGUUUGACUAAACAAUCUAAACUCAAGGUCAAUAGAGCGGUGCAAGAAGGAGUCCUUAACCCAGAAAUGAGUUAGCGUUUUUAGCUCAAUUCUCCCUCAUCUCAAAGUCAAUGUUUCUUUGAAUAGAAUCCCCAAAUGUGCAAGAUUAUUAGAUUUUCACAUUUUGUUCUACAACAUAUAUUAUUUCAUUUAACCUGUACUGGUGAACGUCUGAAGCUUGUACGUGUCUUAAAAUCAUAGUAUCAUAAACGUGUGUUUAGGUAAAAAAUGAACCAAUUAAUAAUGGAUUUAAUUGAAUUUCAAAAAGGAACAACAAAAAUAAAAUACUGUAAAAAACUACAAAAUCAGAGGCAUUCUGAUAUGGAUGAUCCAUUUUUCCAACUAAACCUUCCUCUAGACUGAAUAAAGUUGUGUACCCCAGGUUAAACCUGACAA